GUCAGUGUCAUGUAGUGGUUUGAGUAUUGGACUAUGACUCUUAAGACCAGGGUUCAAUUCCCAGCUUGGCCA
rnacentral:tRNA from 1 species